rnacentral:rRNA from 1 species
CAAGUCGAACGAGAUAUUGUUUGUAGCAAUACAAGCGAUGUCUAGUGUCGCAAGGGUGCGUAACACGUGGGGAAUCUGCCGAGAAGUGGGGGAUAGCUCGUCGAAAGGCGAAUUAAUACCGCAUGUGGUUAGGGAAGACAUCUUUCCGACACCAAAGCCGGGGCAACCUGGCGCUUCUUGAUGACCCCGCGGCCUAUCAGCUAGUUGGUGAGGUAACGGCUCACCAAGGCUAUGACGGGUAGCUGGUCUGAGAGGACGACCAGCCACACUGGAACUGAGACACGGUCCAGACACCUACGGGUGGCAGCAGUCGAGAAUUUUUCUCAAUGGGGGAAACCCUGAAGGAGCGACGCCGCGUGGAGGAUGAAGGUCUUCGGAUUGUAAACUCCUGUCAUUUGGGAACAAUUGUCACGCGUUAACUGCGCGGGGCUUGAUAGUACCAGAAGAGGAAGAGACGGCUAACUCUGUGCCAGCAGCCGCGGUAAUACAGAGGUCUCAAGCGUUGUUCGGAUUCAUUGGGCGUAAAGGGUGCGUAGGUGGCGGGGUAAGUCAGGUGUGAAAUCUCGGAGCUCAACUCCGAAACUGCACUUGAUACUGCCUUGCUCGAGUACUGGAGAGGAGAUUGGAAUUUACGGUGUAGCAGUGAAAUGCGUAGAUAUCGUAAGGAAGACCAGUGGCGAAGGCGAAUCUCUGGACAGUUACUGACACUGAGGCACGAAGGCCAGGGGAGCAAACGGGAUUAGAUACCCCGGUAGUCCUGGCAGUAAACGGUGCGCGUUUGGUGUGGGAGGAUUCGACCCCUUCUGUGCCGGA